UGGCUUUUGGUAAACUGUUGAUCUACUAGUUUCCAAAAACAGUAUCUCAAAAAGUCCUGGAAGGUGUCACAGUCCCUGUGACAGCCAGGGUCAGGAAACCCCACAGAAACCUGGGAUGCUGCCCAUCCUGGGCCGUGUGCAGUGCCUGGCAGGCCCACUAUGACUUGCUGUUGAACAUGGCCUUGGUGUGCCAGAGAGAAACAGAUCCACUGUUUCAUCACAGGAGCCUUGGAUGAUUCACCUGUUACCUUGGAACACGGGUUUUAAAGACAAACCAUUUUGGUCUUGCUGAAAGAUGGAUUCCACAUACUGUGCUCUAAUGAUCAAGUGAAGUUGGUGAGGCGGCUGUGUUACACUAACUGCCAUGGAGAUUUGGAGAGUAAACAUCGACCUUUGAUGUAAUCACUUUGGAACUUAAACCAAGUGAGCAAAAUGGCAAAUGUAGCUAAUGCAGAAAACCUACAAAUACUUAAUGACUUCUGGGCACUGA